AGACCCAGGUUUGUUUCGUUUAAAGGAGGAUGCAAUUCUGUCCGUGAAUGCAUUUUCUCUAAAUGUUGGCUUCAUCCCUCCUUUGGUAGAGCAUGUCAACGGAUUUGCUAAUGGCAAAGAAGGGAAAACAGAAGCAAAGAAAACUGUUUCAAAAGUCUUGGAAUUGCUACUGUUAAAAGGCUGCGGUUCAUUUCUGAUUUCCUCAUCUUUUGCUACAAAGGAAAAAGAAAUCCAAUGAUGUGUCUACCUUUGGUGAGAAGAAAACACGAGCAACAGCAGUGUAGGUUCGAAAGUCAUUGUGCAGAGAGGGCAGGAGUGAAUUAAGGCCCCGGGGACCGCGGACGCCUGGCCAGGAGACCGCCUGAAAUAUGAGCCGAACCUGUUUUGUGAGAUGCACUUGGGUUUGGGGGUCAGGGUCGAAGGCUUCAAAGCCCUUGGUCUGCACGUGUGAAAAAUCUCUCUCUUCCUCCCUCCCUCCUGCUCCUCCUCUCCCUCUCUUUCUCCCUGUUCCCCUUUCUCCUCACCUCUCUCAGAAUUAAUGUUAAUUUCCUCUCCCCCUCCUCUA
rnacentral:lncRNA from 1 species